rnacentral:lncRNA from 1 species
UACCACCGAGUGAGAGGAAACAGAGAGAGUGAGGAAAGAAAGCAAGAGUGAAAGAGAGUGAGAGCAAGACCGAGAGAAACUAAGACAUAUUUCUCUCAUCUCCGUACACCAUCAAAAGGGAGGAAAGGAAGCAUUUCUGAUUUUCUCUUGCUUCCAGUGCAACCGAAAGAGUGAGGAGGAGAGAGUUAGACAGUGUUAGCUGCAUUCAUCUCGCUUGUGACCUUAGAACCGUGAGCUAAGACUGAGUACAAAGAGGUGAAACCAGUCUGCAACUCACGUAUCAACUGCAUCAGUGAGGGAACAGAGUGAGAGCUGGUGCAAUCUGGAGGAACCGAAGCUUAAAAACUGGAGCAGUCUGCAACUGUUGAAUUCUAAAGGAAAGGAGGUGAAAAAAUUCUGUAAUAAACCUUUACUUAUUAAGUAUAAGCGAAUAUAUAAGUUACAUGUUAAGUUUAGCAAGGAAAAUGAAUUCUUGACCAAGGAAAAUUCUGAUUUGGGAUUGAAAAGCUGUUGGACUGAAACUGGUAGGAACCGAAAGUUCAUUGGUUAGAGUUGCAGCUUGUUAACAAGUGUAGAAUGGAAAAUAACGUUGGAAAUUCAUGUAACAUAUAUAUCUCAAGUAUUAUAAGAGGUUUAGCUGUAGAAACUUGUGAAAAGUUGGAGAUUUGGUUUGGAACCGAUGGAAGAACCUUGCUGGAAUUUUCCAGCUUCAUCCGAAUGGAGGGAAAUGGAAAAGUUUCAGCUAUCAUUACGAAGAAUGACUCUAAAAUUCUGUAUUAAUCUGUAAUAUGUUGUAUAAUAUCUCUAUUUCUUCAUGCAUGAAAGAUUUGAGUAAAAAAAAUGACGGGUUUAGUGGAAGAAAUUCUUGUCUUUUGCACUGAUUACUGUUUCGAAUUCAACCCUAUGGCCGAGAGAGGAUAUAAACCUUGGUUCAGUUUUGUUCUUUGAUUUUUUUGGCUGAACCAUAUGCUGGAAUUAAGUGUUAUUUGCCUUGGUUUGUGUUGGACAGAAUGUAUACUCAGUGUUUAGUGUUUUAAGCAAGUAAAAGAUGGCAGUUUGUGGAAAUUUUUGAAGUGGUAUUGCUGGAAAAUUGUCUUGCUGACCGAGAGAGUGAAGAAUUGAAACUCUUAUGAUAUUUCGAAAAAAUUCCAGGAUGAUUGGUUGUAAUCUUGUAUAAAACAUCUUCUAACAUCUUGACUCUAUCAUUCACGUUCAUUUUAGUGAAUUUGAGCCCUGAAAAGCUAAUGAAAUCUGAGAGAACUUAAACAACAAAUUGGAUUGGAAAUUGUUUUGGCCGAGAGAGAAGAAAUGAAAAGUUUUCCAGUUCUACUCUUUAAGUUGGAUUAAAAAUGAUAUAAUCUUAGUCUAAAUACUUACAAGACUUUAAAUUUGGUGUAUAUGUUUAUAUUCAUCAUUCUUAGUUAAUAAACUUAAUAAAUCUCGAAGAGAAAUGGAAGAAAGAAUUGCUGGAAUUUCACAUCUUAUUUAGUAAGCUAAGGAACUUGGUUUCUAGUGAUUUAAAAAGCUUAAAACUUCUCUCCUUACACUUUAGAACUUUAGAACUUAUGUUUGGGGUUGUACAUAAAAUUCCUAAACUUAAAAGUGUGAAUCAAAUCAAAUGGGAGUUUUAAGAGUAUUAGACUGCUUGGAUUGGUUGAACUAUGUUUAGAGAAUUUUAAAACUCUAAAUAAACCUAUUAGAAUUCACAUUAAGAAUACCUGAAUGAUUGUAGUUGUAUUUUACCUCAGGAAUUGAGAGUGAUCAAGGGUUUAACCCAAAAAGCGAAGCUUAAUCGACCUUUAACGGUGAGUGUUUUCUGAAUUUAUGUGUUAAACUGCUUAUGUGUACCUAAGUGCAAUUAUAUGGCGAAUGUGCUUAUUAUGAAAUAUUGCUAAGUGAUUCAUUGUGAAGUGUUUUCAAUUGUCCCUCGCAUUCUAAGUCGGGAGUGUACUUUAUCGCACUCGGCUUAGUUGAGCUUGAAGGUUGAUAAUUGAUCAAGUGAUAUUGUAAGUGUGCAUGACUGUAAGCCAUGUGUGUACUUUAUCACACUGGCUGAACUGGGCCCCAAAACCCUCUGUUCAACGGACUAUUCGAGCCAGUAAAGGGCUUGGUCGGGUAGGACGGUAGCUUUGGGUAAGUGUUUCGGUAUACUCGAGUAUUACCAUGGAGUAGCAGAUUACUGAUAUUGAUAUGGCCAUCUAAGUGAGGGAAGUGUUUAUUGUUUUGGAGGUUAUAAGGAGGAGUUCGGCGGAGUGUGUAGUGCAUUAAAGUGGCUCUAAUGCGAGCACCGUAUCCUUUUAAAAAUGAUUGUUCAGUGAAGUGAAGUGCUUCUUCAAUUGCUUAAUGAAAGUGAUUGUACAGUGAAAUGUGCACUACUUGCUUAACUGUACUGAUUUAAGUGCUUAUUGAUUGUUGCUUGCAUGGAAACCUCACGGGCGUAAGGUCACCUUUUAGUUUUGUUUUCCUUACAGGAGUCGGAGAUUGAAGAGUGAUUGGAUUGAACUAGAAAGUUAUUUUGGGAGGAUCCGUCAUUCUGUGUAUAUAGUGUAGUCAUGGUCUCUUUUGAAUUUUGAGACGGCUAAAUCUUUUGUUUGAGUUGGUGUGAUAUUAAGAAUGGAUAUUUAGAACAAGUAUUUUGUUUCUUUUAUUGGACAAAUUUAUGUUUCAAGUUUAUUGGAGUUGUACUUAAGAGUGAAUGUUUAGUUGUUCAAUGAUAAUGUUAUCUCUGAAAUUAAUGUGA